CGUGCGAAGGAGCGGGGCACAGCUCAAAUUGAAAUCUUGACUCUGGUCGAAUGUAAUUGUAGAAGGUGCUUCGCGCGCGGCCCCGGUCCAAGUCCCUUGGAACGGGGCGUCGCAGAGGGUGAGAAUCCCGUACGCGGCCGGGACCAAGCCCGGGUGAAGCCCUUUCGAAGAGUCGAGUUGUUUGGGAAUGCAGCUCAAAACGGGUGGUAAAUUUCAUCUAAAGCUAAAUAUCUGCCGGAGACCGAUAGCGCACAAGUAGAGUGAUCGAAAGAUGAAAAGCACUUUGAAAAGAGAGUCAAACAGUACGUGAAAUUGUUGAAAGGGAAGCGCUUGCAACCAGACUCGUACGCGGGUGUUCAGCUACCCCCUGGGGUGGUGCAUUCUCCCGUGCUCGGGCCAGCAUCGGUUCCGGCGGCCGGAUAAAGGUCCCGGGAACGUAGCUCUCUUCGGAGUGUGUUAUAGCCCGGGGCGUAAUGCGGCCAGCUGGGACCGAGGAACGCGCAUUGCUAGGAUGCUGGCGUAAUGGUUGCCAGCGACCCGUCUUGAAACACGGACCAAGGAGUCGACCAACUGCGCAAGUGUUUGGGCGUUAAACCCUCACGCGUAAUGAAAGUGAACGGAGGUGGGAGCCCCCGGGUGCACCAUCGACCGAUCCUGAUGUCUUCGGAUGGAUUUGAGUAAGAGCGCCGCUGGUCGGACCCGAAAGAUGGUGAACUAUGCGUGGUAUUUUCAUCCGCCCCGGUUGACGCGAAUACAGCUAACGUUUUUUAGAAUAGGGUGAAGCCAGAGGAAACUCUGGUGGAGGCUCGCAGCGGUUCUGACGUGCAAAUCGAUCGUCAAAUUUGCGCAUAGGGGCGAAAGACUAAUCGAACUAUCUAGUAGCUGGUUCCCGUCGAAGUUUCCCUCAGGAUAGCAGCAACGAAAAAUUAGUCUCAUGAGGUAAGCUAAUUCGAGUCCCUAUUUUCUGCGACUUGGGGCUAAUAAUUUUGUAGGUAGAGCAAACGAUUAGAGGUCUUGGGGUUGAAUUCGACCUUAACCUAUUCUCGAACUUCGAAUAUGUGAGAAGUCCUUGUUACUUAGUUGAACGUGGACAUUGGAUAUAUCGUCUUUUGCCCG
rnacentral:rRNA from 1 species